GAUGAACGCUAGCUACAGGCUUAACACAUGCAAGUCGAGGGGCAGCAUGGUCGUUGCUUGCAAUGACCGAUGGCGACCGGCGCACGGGUGAGUAACGCGUAUCCAACCUUCCCCCUACCCGGGUAUAGCCCGCCGAAAGGCGGAUUAAUCCCCGAUACGUCCUCCGACGGCAUCAGAUGAGGACGAAAGGUUUUCCGGUAAGGGAUGGGGAUGCGUCCGAUUAGCUUGUUGGCGGGGUAACGGCCCACCAAGGCGACGAUCGGUAGGGGUUCUGAGAGGAAGGUCCCCCACAUUGGAACUGAGACACGGUCCAA
rnacentral:rRNA from 1 species